rnacentral:misc_RNA from 1 species
GGGAAAUUUGCAAAACCUAAGAGAAAGCGUGAUUUGACUUCUCCAAUCAUCAAGUAUAAGUUCCUUGAGUGUUUUGCAGGAUGUACUGGGCCUCAAGAAAAGGAAAGUGCCGUUCAACACAUUGUUGUUGACAAUGAAUCAAUUGAUGUUGACAUGGGAUUUGCAGUAUAUCCUAGUGCUCAAGAAAAGGAAAGUGCCAAUGAAACCAUCAUUAUUGACAACGAACCAAUUGAUGUUGAAAUGAUAUUUGCUGAAGGGAUCAAGGCUCCAUGCAAGGAAAUUAGUGAUGAAUCAGUAGC